rnacentral:rRNA from 1 species
GCAGCGCGGGGAGCUUGCUCCCUGGCGGCGAGUGGCGCACGGGUGAGUAAUACAUCGGAACGUGUCUUCUAGUGGGGGAUAACUGCCCGAAAGGGCAGCUAAUACCGCAUGAGACCUGAGGGUGAAAGCGGGGGAUCGCAAGACCUCGCGCUGGAAGAGCGGCCGAUGUCCGAUUAGCUAGUUGGUGAGGUAAAGGCUCACCAAGGCGACGAUCGGUAGCUGGUCUGAGAGGACGACCAGCCACACUGGGACUGAGACACGGCCCAGACUCCUACGGGAGGCAGCAGUGGGGAAUUUUGGACAAUGGGGGCAACCCUGAUCCAGCCAUGCCGCGUGCAGGAUGAAGGUCUUCGGAUUGUAAACUGCUUUUGUCAGGGACGAAAAGGGAUGCGAUAACACCGCAUUCCGCUGACGGUACCUGAAGAAUAGCACCGGCUACUCUG